rnacentral:ncRNA from 1 species
CAAAGGCUUGGUCCCAACUUUACUAUCAGCUUUAGCCCAAUUUACACAUGCAAGUCUCCGCACCCCCGUGAGAAUGCCCUUAAUCCCCUAUUUGGGGACGAGGAGCCGGUAUCAGGCACACUCUGUAGCCCAAAACGCCUUGCUACGCCACACCCCCAAGGGAACUCAGCAGUGAUAAACAUUAAGCCAUAAGUGAAAACUUGACUUAGUUAAGACUAAGAGGGUCGGUAAAACUCGUGCCAGCUACCGCGGUUAUACGAGAGACCCCAGUUGAUAAGUACGGCGUAAAGAGUGGUUAUGGAGUGCACCCGACUAAAGCCGAAGACCCCCUCGGCCGUCAUACGCAUCUGGGGGCACGAAGCCCUAUCACGAAAGUAGCUUUAUUUAAGCCCACCCGACCCCACGACAGCUGAGAUACAAACUGGGAUUAGAUACCCCACUAUGCUCAACCGUAAACUUAGAUGUUGCCCCACAACCAACAUCCGCCAGGGGACUAUGAGCAUCAGCUUAAAACCCAAAGGACUUGGCGGUGUCUCAGACCCACCUAGAGGAGCCUGUUCUAAAACCGAUAACCCCCGUUAAACCUCACCACCUCUUGUCAAUCCCGCCUAUAUACCGCCGUCGUCAGCUUACCCUGUGAAGGUCCCAUAGUAAGCAAAGCGGACAUAACCCAGAACGUCAGGUCGAGGUGUAGCGUACGGGGUGGGAAGAAAUGGGCUACAUUUUCUGAAUCAGAAUACUACGAACGGCGCCAUGAAAUCUGGGCACCCGAAGGUGGAUUUAGCAGUAAAAAGAAAAUAGAGAGUUCUUUUGAAUCCGGCUCUGAGACGCGCACACACCGCCCGUCACUCUCCCCAAACUAAACCCUUAAAGUAAAUAACAAGAUUAAUUAAUCAAGGGGAGGCAAGUCGUAACAUGGUAAGUGUACCGGAAGGUGCACUUGGAAUAAC